rnacentral:rRNA from 1 species
CGGCGGACGGGUGAGUAACACGUGAGUAACCUGCCUUAGACAUUGGGAUAGCCUCGGGAAACCGGGAUUAAUACCAAAUAAAAUCAUAAUGACACAUGUCAUAACGAUCAAAACUCCGGUGGUCUAAGAUGGACUCGCGUCCCAUUAGCUAGUUGGUAGAGUAAAAGCCUACCAAGGCGACGAUGGGUAGCCGGCCUGAGAGGGUGAACGGCCACAUUGGAACUGAGAAACGGUCCAA